GCCCCAUUGCUGCGCUAUCACACACUUGGGGACACCGGGGAGCGGCGUUGUGCAUAGGUUGCUCAGACGUUGCAGGUCGUUCCUAGAGCAGAGCGCAUGGGCCUGAAAUGUACCCAGAUGGACAGCGGAGUAAGUGAAAAAUCGAGGCUUGAGAAGGGCAGCCGAACCAGAUAGUUUUGUCAAGAUGACAAUUCAAAUUAAUUUUUCACAUGCCUGAUGAAGCCCAGAUAACACAAUGCCACUCAAGGAACUUCUGUUAUCCUAUUCAUUCAAGUAUAUUAAAGCACUUUUCUGUCCUUGA